UUGAUUGGUAAAAAUAGAAGAAAAUUCUUUCCUCCUUAUCACGAUCCUUAUUAUUAUUAUAUUAUGCAUUAUCAUGUAAGCAUAUGCUACAAUCUUAAGCACGUAUUAUACUCUCUCUCUCUCUUCCCUUGUAAUCUCCAUCUUCGUCUGCUAUCUUGCUACCUGUUGUUUUGUUGCUCUUGAACUGUCUUUAAUUUUCUAGCUGGUUUAUUGUAUCCAGACCAAACCAAACCAUAGUAGUUAACUGUAAUAAAUGUUUUAGAAUCCAGAGAUAGUUUCAUGGGUAAUUUGAUCAAAGGAGUGGUGUCUACAACAACCUCUUGUUCUAACCUUGUGAUGCUUAUCUAUUCUUCCAUUGCUGGUGGAUUCCGUGAGUGAAAUUGGAGUCAACUGGGGAACUCAGGCAACGCAUCCUUUGCCGCCUUCCACUGUGGUUAAAAUGCUCAGGGACAACGGUUUUCAGAAGAUCAAGCUAUUUGAUGCUGAUUCAGCAACUCUAAAUGCUCUUGCUAAUUCUGGGAUUCAAGUCAUGGUGGGUAUUCCCAAUGAUAUGCUUUAUAAUCUGGCCAAUAGCGAGCAAGCUGCUGACACCUGGGUGGCCAAGAAUGUCUCUUCUCAUAUCUCUUCUGGUGGUGCAGACAUCAGCAAUUUGAUUUUAGGUGGUGAAGGAGGAAAUGGAAAAGGAAUGGUGGGAAGGCGGGGCCAAUGAGUCUCGUCUUUUGAUCACGCCUUCACCUUCGCCCACUGCAGGAGCUGGAAUUAAUGGAUUUUUGUUAUUGCUUCGACAUCCAAAAUCAGGGAAGGCAACAAACUAUCUGCUCCCUCAUGAAUGAGGGAGCAGUGCUCCAAGAACUUUACUGAUUUAAGCAAUCAUGUAUGUCAUGGUGUCUUGGGGAUUAUGUUUCUCAAGGUAUAUACAUAUAUAUACAGUUCUUUACUAAAAAAUGCACAAACUUCCCUAUCUAA